GACGAACGCUGGCGGCGUGCUUAACACAUGCAAGUCGAGCGAUGAAGCACCUUCGGGUGUGAAUUAGCGGCGAACGGGUGAGGAACACGUGAAGAAUCUGCCUUCAACUCUGGGAUAACUCCGGGAAACCGGGGCUAAUACCGGAUAUGAGCCUUGAUCGCAUGAUCGGGGCUGGAAAGUUUUUCGGUUGAAGAUGACUUCGCGGCCUAUCAGCUUGUUGGUGAGGUAAUGGCUCACCAAGGCGACGACGGGUAGCCGGCCUGAGAGGGCGACCGGCCACACUGGGACUGAGACACGGCCCAGACUCCUACGGGAGGCAGCAGUGGGGAAUAUUGGGCAAUGGAGGAAACUCUGACCCAGCGACGCCGCGUGAGGGAUGAAGGCCUUCGGGUUGUAAACCUCUUUCAGUAGGGAAGAAGCGAAAGUGACGGUACCUACAGAAGAAGCACCGGCUAACUAUGUGCCAGCAGCCGCCGCCG
rnacentral:rRNA from 1 species